UGUGCAGUCAACCGUACUUCUUCAGCUUUGCACCAAAGGACGAAAACAACGUUUUAUUGGACAAUGUUUGUAUAACGUUUUUUCCUCUGCCGGACGAUCCUGAUACUGUUGUGGAGUACGACUCUUUUGUCUACUGUGACGGUUCGAACUACGUGGAAUCUUUCAUCGCAACUGCUGCUGCUAAAGGAACAUUCAUCACAGCUAACCCCAGGGUAAUUUAUCGGGACUACAUCGUAGGAUACGCUGGGUGUGACAUCCAAGUUGUGUACAGAUGUCCCCAAUUCGGAGGUA